UCGGGUGGGAAGCCCAGGGCUGCUGUGGGGUGUUGCAUUUCGGAUAAUUCCUCCGUGGCGUAUGUGUAGAAAGCCAUCGUGCCCAUAUUGGCCGUCCGGAUCUGGCAGCCAUGGUGUGAAGGAUUUGUAUCCAAAGGGAGGAAGGUACUUUGGCUCCAACCUGUAAGCAGCUUUCCCUGCUCGAUGAUCACAUGAAAAUAUACAUUUGAAUUCAGGAUUCAAAGAUGUGACACAAGGGGACAAAAUAAUUUCAGUCCAGCAAUCCAAAAAUGGAAAAUUUGAGCUGAGAUAGGUAGAAGCUCAUCUUGGCAUCUUGUGGCUUCCACGAACCAAAUUCAAGUGCAGGCAGUCUUCAAUUUGACUACAAUUGAACGCAAAAUUUCGGUUGCCAAGCAAGACAAUUAUUAAGUGAGUUUUAUCCCUUUUUGCAACCUUUCUUGCCACUGUUGUUAAAUGAAUCACUGCAGUUGUUAAGUUACUAACAAGCUUGUAAAAUAAAUCUUGACUUUGUUUGCCAGCUUUGAAUGGUUAUUAAAUUAAAAGUU